CGAUGAUGCCUAGCUUGCUGGGUUGAUUAGUGGCGAACGGGUGAGUAACACGUGAGUAACCUGCCCCUGACUUCGGGAUAACGCUGGGAAACUGGUGCUAAUACCGGAUAUGACACACCUUCGCAUGGGGGUGUGUGGAAAGACUGUGUCGGUUGGGGAUGGGCUCGCGGCCUAUCAGCUUGUUGGUGGGGUGAUGGCCUACCAAGGCGUCGACGGGUAGCCGGCCUGAGAGGGUGACCGGCCACACUGGGACUGAGACACGGCCCAGACUCCUACGGGAGGCAGCAGUGGGGAAUAUUGCACAAUGGGCGCAAGCCUGAUGCAGCGACGCCGCGUGAGGGAUGACGGCCUUCGGGUUGUAAACCUCUUUCAGUAGGGGAGAAGCCAGCUUGCUGGUGACGGUACCUGCAGAAGAAGCGCCGGCUAACUACGUGCCAGCAGCCGCGGUAAUACGUAGGGCGCAAGCGUUGUCCGGAAUUAUUGGGCGUAAAGAGCUCGUAGGCGGUUUGUCGCGUCUGCUGUGAAAACGUGGGGCUUAACCCUACGCCUGCAGUGGGUACGGGCAGACUAGAGUGCGGUAGGGGAGACUGGAAUUCCUGGUGUAGCGGUGGAAUGCGCAGAUAUCAGGAGGAACACCGAUGGCGAAGGCAGGUCUCUGGGCCGUUACUGACGCUGAGGAGCGAAAGCAUGGGGAGCGAACAGGAUUAGAUACCCUGGUAGUCCAUGCCGUAAACGUUGGGCACUAGGUGUGGGGCCCGUUCCACGGGUUCUGUGCCGCAGCUAACGCAUUAAGUGCCCCGCCUGGGGAGUACGGCCGCAAGGCUAAAACUCAAAGGAAUUGACGGGGGCCCGCACAAGCGGCGGAGCAUGCGGAUUAAUUCG
rnacentral:rRNA from 1 species